CAGAGAGAAGUUUAGAAAAAAUAGUAAUUUUGGAGAUUAUAGAUGACUUAGUGGUCCUUUCUGA
rnacentral:tRNA from 1 species